rnacentral:rRNA from 1 species
AGAUUGAACGCUGGCGGCAUGCUUUACACAUGCAAGUCGAACGGUAACAGGCCGCAAGGUGCUGACGAGUGGCGAACGGGUGAGUAAUGCAUCGGAACGUGCCCAGUCGUGGGGGAUAACGCAGCGAAAGCUGUGCUAAUACCGCAUACGAUCUAUGGAUGAAAGCGGGGGACCGAAAGGCCUCGCGCGAUUGGAGCGGCCGAUGUCAGAUUAGCUAGUUGGUGGGUAAAGCCCACAAGGCGACGAUCUGUAGCUGGUCUGAGAGGACGACCAGCCACACUGGAACUGAGACACGGCCAGACUCUACGGGAGCAGCAGUGGGAAUUUGGACAAGUGGGCGCAAGCCGUGACGUCCAGCAAUGCCGCGUGCAAGGAAGAAGGCCC